GCCACCCUAGCUCAGCUGGUUAGAGCAAUUGUUUUGUAAACAAUAGGUCGUCGGUUCGAAUCCGACGGGUGGCU
rnacentral:tRNA from 1 species